rnacentral:rRNA from 1 species
CCACACGGUAAACGAUGAAUACUCGCUGUCGGCGAUAUACAGUCGGCGGCUUAGCGAAAGCGUUAAGUAUUCCACCUGGGGAGUACGCCGGCAACGGUGAAACUCAAAGGAAUUGACGGGGGCCCGCACAAGCGGAGGAACAUGUGGUUUAAUUCGAUGAUACGCGAGGAACCUUACCCGGGCUUGAAUUGCAACUGAAUUAUCUGGAAACAGGUAAGCCGCAAGGCAGUUGUGAAGGUGCUGCAUGGUUGU